GCCCAUGAGCUAGGUCACACCCUAGGCAUGAUGCAUGACCAUUCAGGCUGCAGAUGUGGAGAACAAUCUUCCUGCAUCAUGAAUGAGGCUGUCACCCGUGAGAGUCGUUACAGUAAUUGCAGUAUUGACAACUACUAUGAAUUUAUAAGGACACGCCGUGGGACCUGCCUCUACAACAAGCCAGACCCCAGCAGAAUAAUGAGGAAGUCAGUCUGUGGGAACCGAGUGUUAGACAGAGGGGAGGAGUGUGACUGUGGCAGUGUUGAGACCUGCUCGAAGGACCCUUGCUGUCUUCCCACAUGCAGGAUGACCAGAGGUUCCGUAUGCGCCUUCGGGCCCUGCUGUGAGGGCUGCCAAUUUCGGUUAAGGGCAGUGUUUGCCGUCCCAGUAAGGAUGAGUGUGACCUCCCUGAAUAUUGCAAUGGUACCUCCAUGUGGUGCCAACCAGAUUUCUACAAAUUAGAUGGCACCCCGUGCGCAACUGACGGGUAUUGCUAUGUAGGGCUCUGUCGGGACCUGAAUAAACAGUGCGUUGAUAUCUUUGGCAAAGAAGCCAUAUCUGCCCGAGAUAGUUGUUAUCAGUUGUUGAAUACCAAAGGGGACCGGUUUGGGAACUGUGGCAGCAAAAUUUCUGGGCUCUCUAAGCACUUUCUGAAGUGUGCUGAGAAAGACGUCAAGUGUGGGAAGAUUGUAUGUGAGAAGGUUCUGAACGUGCCCCAAAGUAGGACCACCACACCUUUAUCCAGGUGAUGCAUGAUGAAACUUGGUGCUGGGGCGCAGACCUCUUUGAGGAGGUUGAUGUUCCUGAUAGAGCACGAGUGUCCAACGGUACCGGCUGUGGCAUGAACAAAGUCUGCAUGAACAAUGUCUGCUUAUUUCAUCCAUUUUUCCUCUUUUUGGAAGAGUGCAAUCCAAUUUUCAAGUGUAACAGUAGAGGGUGUAAUCUGGUACCUCAUAAUCCUGGCCUAUGCCCAGAAAAAGAAGAGACGAAAACAGAAAGCCACACAAAACAGAAAAGCCCAUGUAAGAAGGAUCUGAAGGAGAAGGAUUGGGGCAUCUCCCAGGACCUCUUGCAUGUCACCAACUCAUGCUUUGGAAGCAUAGCUGUGAUUUGGAACAGGAAUCAUUUGAAUAAAAAGAUAAGUGAAAAAUACAACUGUGUUCAGGAGAGAUGUGGGUUUCAGCUUGGGGCUACACACACAGAACUGGG
rnacentral:lncRNA from 1 species